GAUGAAGAACGUAGCGAAAUGCGACAAGUAAUGUGAAUUGCAGAAUUCAGUGAAUCAUCGAAUCUUUGAACGCACAUUGCGCCCCCUGGCAUUCCGGGGGGCAUGCCUGUCCGAGCGUCAUUACAACCCUCAAGCUCAGCUUGGUGUUGGGCCCCGCCGCCCCGGCGGGCCCUAAAGUCAGUGGCGGUGCCGUCCGGCUCCGAGCGUAGUAAUUCUUCUCGCUCUGGAGGUCCGGUCGCGUGCUCGCCAGCAACCCCCAAUUUUUUUCAGGUUGACCUCGGAUCAGGUAGGGAUACCCGCUGAACUUAAGCAUAUCAAUAAGCGGAGGA
rnacentral:misc_RNA from 1 species